rnacentral:rRNA from 1 species
UACGAAGGGGGCUAGCGUUGCUCGGAAUCACUGGGUUUAAAGGGUGCGUAGGCGGGCAGGUAAGUCAGUGGUGAAAUCCUGGAGCUUAACUCCAGAACUGCCAUUGAUACUAUCUGUCUUGAAUAUUGUGGAGGUAAGCGGAAUAUGUCAUGUAGCGGUGAAAUGCUUAGAUAUGACAUAGAACACCUAUUGCGAAGGCAGCUUACUACGCAUAUAUUGACGCUGAGGCACGAAAGCGUGGGGAUCAAACAGG